UGGUACUUUUCGAUUAAUGCGCGCUCGACCAACGCGAUGAUCUUGAAAUGCUAUUUCCGAUUCACGUACCCCAUUUGGGGUACGCAUUCGUACGCGGUUUCAAGAGUCAGGUGAUUGGAAACCGUGCAAUCGAUGGUCAGAACGCCGCGGCCAGAUCCUUGGCGCCCUGAAGGUUGACCUGGUUGUCCAUCCGCGCAUCCGUCGCCGCCAGCAGCUUGGCGACGGUGUU
rnacentral:misc_RNA from 1 species